CAGGGAGACAACAAAAUGUUUAAUAUUAUUAUUUUGUCACCUUAGGUCGAUCGGUAUCUCACGUUUUUAAUUUAUUAAGAAUUUCAUUUCCUAAGUUUUUUCUAGGUCACACCCAUUAUUUUCCUGGGCCAUUAGCUCAGGUGGUUAGAGCGCACCCCUGAUAAGGGUGAGGUCCCUGGUUCAAGUCCAGGAUGGCCCAUAUCUCUAUGUUGGGGGUAUAGCUCAGUUGGUAGAGCGCCUGCUUUGCAAGCAGGAUGUCAGCGGUUCGAGUCCGCUUACCUCCACUGAUUACCACCUCUUCCAUAAUUUAUGAGAAGGAAAAGUUUUGGGUAGUGAUCACAUUCUGAACGAAGACAGCUUCCUAAUGAAAUCAUUAAGAUGCUGGACUCAUUGAAUUACUUUCAUUGUUUUCAGAGAACCUUGACAACUGCAUAGAUUAUUUUUAAAGACAAUAAGCAUCUUUGAUGAUGCAGAUUUAUUAUUUGUGCGAAUGCAUUAAUAACAAUUCUAUUAAGCUGAUGCUUCAAUUUUUGAAGUUAUU
rnacentral:tRNA from 2 species